UACGUAGGUGGCAAGCGUUGUCCGGAUUUAUUGGGUUUAAAGGGUGCGUAGGCGGCCCUGUAAGUCAGUGGUGAAAUACUCUAGCUUAACUAGAGGGGUGCCAAUGAUACUGCAGGGCUUGAGUACAGAUGAGGUAGGCGGAAUUGACGGUGUAGCGGUGAAAUGCAUAGAUAUCGUCAAGAACACCGAUAGCGAAGGCAGCUUACUGGGCUGUAACUGACGCUGAGUGCACGAAAAGUGU
rnacentral:rRNA from 1 species